CAACCCUCGACUUCCCUUUGGGGAAAUCGGCGUUGGGGACCGGCCGUAUACCGCCGGCCCCGAAAUGAAGUGGCGGCCCGUCCGCGGCGACCUCUGCGUAGUAAUCCAACUCGCACCGGAACCCCGACGUGGCCACGCCGUAAAACCCCCGACUUCUGAA
rnacentral:misc_RNA from 2 species